rnacentral:lncRNA from 1 species
AUUUCCUUUUUAAGUGCCUACUUUACAUUUGUCAUGUUUGUCAUUUCUUUCUUGCCUCAGAAUAGGAAUAAAGAGGAUUUCCAGAGCUGCAAAUAUGAGGUUUGGCCCAUUCCUGGUCAAUAAGAUAAGAGGGUGAAUUUUCUCCAUGAGCUUUUCCUGAGUCCCAAGAUUCACAUCACCAGAAGGCUGUUUGAGAUGCACAAAUCCCAGGAAAUGAACAUAUCGAGGCAAAGGGAUCAGCCUCCCUUUCUACUUGGCCUGCCACUUUGUUGUAAUCAAGAGAUGCUAUAAAGUGGAAGUCUGGAUCAGCCAUAUAUAUAUUCCAACUGGAAAAGAGAUUCUCAUUCUCAGCCAUGCAUGUUUAGCACCGUUCUUCAAAUUACAACUUGUAGUUAUUUUUGAUAUAUGCCUGGUGGUUAUCCAGGCGUCCUCGGCCUCAAUUAUAUCCUUAACAUAGAAGCCAGAUCCAAAUAUAUGUGAUGUGAUAUGCAUUUAUACAAAGCAAAAAAGCAAUAAAUAAAUACAUAAUUUAAAAAAAAAAUGGCA